AUCCCAUGAAUUGAGGGUAGUUUUUGUAGCAUAGUGAUAUAGAAACUCGUGAGAAACCAGGCCGAGGCACGUAGACCGCGAUAUGAAGUAGUGUGUACUCGUUCCAACCCCAAUGCCAGAGACCCGAGAGACUGGCAGAUGGUUCGGGAAGCCAACGGAUGGGUAUAAAUAGGGCCGCCUCGCCCGGAGAACGUCACUCUCGCAGGAAAAGUGUUCAAGUGCAGUCAACAGUGUAGCUGAAUAAAAAAACCAGUUUAAAUUAGUACAAAGAAAAUUUCACUCUUGCAGUUCGCAAGCAGUAAUUGUAUCCAAAUAUGGAAAAGUGUAAAAAUCGUGUCGCACCAGACGAGCAGCAGUACGAGUAUUGCAAAAUGACGCCAGGGCCCACGUAGUAUUUGUCCACGUCGGGCAUUAUUUGCUCUCGAGUUGGAAACAAAGAAAAAAACCAGACGCAGACCCACUGGAAAAGAUGUGAAUUAGUCAUCGAUUUUGCUGGUCAGAGCGAAUGGUGAAUUUCGCAAUGCGGCAGGCAGUUUUUGGCAGUCGAUUUUCGCUAGAAAGUGACCCACUAGGCAGUCUGAGGCAGAAAUCCAGGAUAUGCGGUACUGGGACCCCACUAUCUGAGUGCCGAAUGGCGAUGGCCCUGAUCUGCGGAUUUGAUAAAUUGGGAUAGGAAGCCAGAGGUAUACAUACACAGCGGCGAAACCAGCGUGUUCUUCUAUAAUUCUAUUCGUAAUCGUAAGCCCAACCUAAGCCUAAGUCGUAGUUUAUAACCACACAUCGACCUUCGGCGAAAAGCGUUUUCAAACGUCGCCAUCGAGCGUUAUUCCUUCUGCAGCCAUUGCAAUUUCAUCGUCUUGCGUAACCCGGGAAUAAAUGUUUCCCUAGUAUUUCACAUUUCUAUGUACCCAAGUCGAAAGUUCUCGAUUCUCGUUUACAACCCCCGGAUCGAAAGGCCACCAACUGGCUCGCUCUCUAAAAAUAGCGUACUCAUACGCCCCGUUGGCGUCUCUCUCUACCUCUCGGGUAUACACAUUUCUACAGAUACAUACGUAUAUAUUCAGAGCCCCCAUACAUAUGGAUGUAUAGUAAUUGGACGGCAACGGCAGCUGCGCAAAAACCACUGUGGCGUAAAUAACCCCGCGCUCUUUGUUUGCCUUCCCCAACGUUUUAUGGUAACGAUCCAUAGUAUAUAUGUAUUUUCACAGCGGAAAACUUUCCAGCCUGACUUUGUUCCAUCACGUCACGUCUGUCGCUUCUAUUGGCAUUCUAAACUAGCUCGUAGUUGUUUUAACAUUUACCUAGCUGUUAAUCUUAUUUGUAACCAUCUCUCUAUAUGCAACUCUGCCAUACCACUUAACCAAGCAAUAUGUAUUUCUUUCUCUAAACUUUAUAGUUGGGCGUUGAAAGUUGAUAUCGAUCCGUGAAAAGUCGAUACCCUGCGCGAGCAUGGGUCGGCUAAUGGGUGCUGAAAAUGCACUCGGCCCGAUUGCAGCGUUUUUGCGAAAGCUGUGUCUGCGACCGUGACUGUGAUUACGUAUAUGAUAUAUGUACAUAUCUAGUGUCCGGGGUCGCGGACCAGCCAGGGUGCUCGAUUCUGUCAGAUUGAUUGUGCGGAUUGUGUUAUAGGAACACUGGUGUAUCGACUUCUCUGCUCCACUAAGGGUGAACGGGAACCCGAAACCGAAAGGCCUUCUGUUGCUAACUAUCAUCGAACAAGUUCCGUAUCGGGCAGACAUACGUGGCAGCAUAUUGAAUCCGUAUCCGUUCAAUGACACAUCGUCUCUGGAUUAGUAAUUGAAUCAACGAGGUCGGAAUCGAAUACGAAUACCCCGCCAGUUGGUUGUAAACAUUAAUUUUGUUCUUAUAUUCAGUUGUAAAGUCAAUACGGAAGUUAUUUCCAACAACAAUGUGUCACUUAUGUUCUUAAAUACCAGAAACUGUUUAAAUUUUUUGUUUUUGUACACUUCACCAAAUUAGAAUUACCUGUACCGAUGUAAAAUUACUUGUUGAACCACAACAAAAAUAGAAAAAAUGAAUAACAAAAGAGCUCCGUAAUGGAAAGGCCACAGAAAAAGUGAAUAAAAAAUUCAAAAGUUCCAAAAAUAAAUUUCGAAACAUUUGCUCGUCAUAUUUUUUAUUUCAAGCUUAGAUGCGAUUUCAGUUAUACCAUCGAACUUAAACGUAGCGUUACCAGAAUAGUCCCACGGAGGAAGGGCCCUUAUAUCAACGUGCCAAUAGUCUUCGUCUCACACACAAAUUACUCUGAUGUUUUCAAACCAAGUCGAAAAAUCGGGCCAAGUGUCUGCAUAAAAAGGAAGGGCCAAUGAUCUCUGUUGAACGCUAAAAGUUUGUAUUGGAAAGAGUAUUCGAAUGUUUAAAAGAUCAGCUUAAAAGUACGUAUAUUGCAAUUUAUAUUUCUCAACAUUUUUAGGAUAACAUCAAUACGUUUUUUCUAAGAAUAAUCCACGACAUAAAAUCUCUCCAUUUGGCGGUAUCAAUAACUUUGAACUACAAUACAUAUUAAUACCAAUAAAUAUAAUAAAACAAUAUUUUUUUAAUGAAAUAAACAAUGUUCAAUAAAUCUUAUAUACAAAACCAUUCAUACGUUUAAAAAAAACCCAAAUAAAUCUUCCUUCGAUUGAACAAUUUAUUCUUGUGGUAAAAACAAAUACACAAAUAUUUAUAAUAAUUCAAUAGCUAAAAUAAGUUAACUACCUUUAUAUAAAAAAUACUACAGGUUUUAAACAAAGAGGUUUUAAACUAAUACUUUUAAAAAUUAUUGACUGAAAAUUGUAGGUAGGACUCUCACUCGUAAUUAAUGAGUGGUGUAAUGUUCUCAAUAAAAACUAAAGAAAAUAGGUAGGAUCUUCUUAAGGUAAAUGGUAUACAAAUCAAAUUCAAAUACAAAUAAACACUGAAUAAUGUUCAAAUUGGUAGGUAGGAAUUUUCUUCUUAUGUCAAAAGGUAAAAAUCCAGAAAACCCAAUCGGUAUAAAAAUAAAAUAUGAUUAGGCAGGGUGUGUUAUAAAAGUAUCCCCAUUUAAAAUCGUGUAUUAAAAAAAAAAAAUGCUUAAAUUGGUAGGUAGGACUAUAAAACCAUACGGUAUUCACUCCUAAAUGAGGUGCUGAUUAAUUUUCUCAACAAAAACCCAAAAAAAAGGUAGUAUCGUAAUGACUCUCUUCUUAUAGUAAAAGGUAAACAAAUCGAGAAACCCCAAAUCGGUAUAAAAUUAAAAUAUGAUUGGGCAGGGUGUGUUAUAAAAGUAUUCCCAUUUAAAAUAGUGUAUUUCCCAGAAGGACUCUCCUAGGGAUUAAUGUGUGAUGUAAUUUUCUCGACAGAAACUAAAGAAAAUAGGUAGGAUCGUAUAAUGUGUUUUAAAUUAUCUGUCCAAACGAAUAAAAUACAAUUAGGCAGGGUGUGUUAAAAAAGUAUUUCCAUUUAAAAUAGUGUAUUUAUAAAAACUGAAAAAUGUUUAAAUUUGUAGGUAGGACUAUCAAAAAAUACGGUAUUCACUUGUGAAUAAUGUGAGGUAUAACUUUUUUAACAAAAAAUUAAAAAAUUAGGUUGGAUCGUACUGACUAUCUUCCUAUGGUAAAAGGUAAACAAAUCAAUAAAACCGAAAUCGGUGUAAACAAUAAUUGUAAUUAGGCAGGGUGUGUUAUAAAAGUAUCCCCAUUUAUAAUCGUGUAUUUCCCAAAACUGAAAAAUUAAUAAAUUGGUAGGUAGGACUCCUCUCGUGAAUGCUUUGCGGAACAAUUUUCUCAAAUUAUCUGUCGUAAAGACUUUCUUCCUAUGGUAAAAAUUAAUAAAACCGAAAUCGGUAUAAACAAUAAUUGUAAUUAGGCAGGGUAUGUUAUAAAAGUAUCCCCAUUUAUAAUCGUGUAUUUCCCAAAACUGAAAAAUUAAUAAAUUGGUAGGUAGGACUCCUCUCGUGAAUGCUUUGCGGAACAAUUUUCUCAAAUUAUCUGUCGUAAAGACUUUCUUCCUAUGGUAAAAAUUAAUAAAACCGAAAUCGGUAUAAACAAUAAUUGUAAUUAGGCAGGGUAUGUUAUAAAAGUAUCCCCAUUUAUAAUCGUGUAUUUCCCAAAACUGAAAAAUUAAUAAAUUGGUAGGUAGGACUCCUCUCGUGAAUGCUUUGCGGUACAAUUUUCUCAAAUUAUCUGUCGUAAAGACUUUCUUCCUAUGGUAAAAAUUAAAGAAAUCAAUAAAACCGAAAUCGGUAUAAAAAAUUAAAUAUGAUUAGGCAGGGUGUGUUAUAAAAGUAUUCCCAUUUAAAAUCGUGUAUUUCCCAAAACUGAAAAAUUAAUAAAUGGGUAGGUAGGACUCCUCUCGUGAAUGCUUUGCGGUACAAUUUUCUCAAAUUAUCUGUCGUAAAGACUUUCUUCCUAUGAUAAAAAAUAAAAAAAAUUAAUAAAACCGAAAUCGGUAUAAAAAGUAAAAUAUGAUUAGGCAGGGUGUGUUAUAAAAUUAUUCUUAAUUAGAAUCUUGUAUUUCCCAAAACUGAAAAAUUAGUACGAUUCUCAAAACAUACGAUAUUCACUCGUGAAUGAUUUUUUCUCAACAAAACUACAACAAAAUAGGUAGGAUCGUAUACUUUACUACAAAUUAUCUGUCUUAAAGACUCUCUUCUUAUGGUAAAGGGUAAAGAAAUCAAUAAAACCGAAAUCGGUAUAAAAAAUAAAAUAUAAUAUAAUGGUAUAAAAGUAUUCCCAUUUAAAAUCGUGUAUUUCCCAAAACUGAAAAAUUAAUAAAUUGGUAGGUAGGACUCCUCUCGUGAAUGCUUUGCGGUACAAUUUUCUCAAAUUAUCUGUCUUAAAGACUCUCUUCUUAUGGUAAAAAUUAAAGAAAUUAAUAAAACCGAAAUCGGUAUAAAAAAUAAAAUAUGAUUAGGCAGGGUGUGUUAUAAAAUUAUUCUUAAUUAGAAUCUUGUAUUUCCCAAAACUGAAAAAUUAGUACGAUUCUCAAAACAUACGAUAUUCACUCGUGAAUGAUUUUUUCUCAACAAAACUACAACAAAAUAGGUAGGAUCGUAUACUUUACUACAAAUUAUCUGUCUUAAAGACUCUCUUCUUAUGGUAAAGGGUAAAGAAAUCAAUAAAACCGAAAUCGGUAUAAAAAAUAAAAUAUAAUUAGGCAGGGUGUGGUAUAAAAGUAAUCCCAUUUAAACCCGUGCAUUUCCAAAAACUGAAAAAUUAAUAAAUUGGUAGGUAGGACUCCCCUCGUAAAUGAUUUGCGGUAUAAUUUUCUCAAAAAAAAACUACAACAAAAAAGGUAGGAUCGUAUAAUUUUCUACAAAUUAUCUGUCAUAAAGACUCUCUUCUUAUGGUAAAAGGUAAACAAAUCAAUAAAAUCCAAAUCGGUAUAAAAAAUAAAAUAUGAUUACGCAGGUUGUGUUAUAUGAGUAUUCUUAUUUAAAAUCUUGUAUUUCCCAAAACUGAAAAAUUACUACGGUUCUCAAAACAUACGAUAUUCACUCGUGAAUGAUUUUUUUUCUCAACAAAACUACAACAAAAUAGGUAGGAUCGUAUAGUUUACUACAUAUUAUCUGUCUUAAAGACUCUCUUCUUAUGGUAAAAGGUAAAGAACUCAAUAAAACCGAAAUCGGUAUAAAAAUAAAAUAUGAUUAGGCCGGGUGUGUUAAAAAAGUAUUCCCAGUUUAAAUCGUGUAUUUCCAAAAACUGAAAAAUUACUACGGUUCUCAAAACAUACGGUAUUCACUCGUAAAUGAUUUUUUCUCAGCAAAAUAGGUAGGAUAUUGGUAGGUAGGACUCUCAAAACAAACGGUAAUCAGUCGUUAAUGAGGUGGGGUCAAAUUUUCUCAACAAAACUCAAAAAAUUGGUAGGUUCGUAUAAUUUAUAUUACAUUAUCUGUCGUAAUGACUCUGUUCUUGUGGUAGAAGGUUAAUAAAUCCAGAAAACCAAAUCGGUAUAAAAUUACAUAUGAUUAGGCAGGGUGUUUUAUAAAAACAUUCCCAUUUAAAAACAAAUAAACGACAAAUACAAAUAGACACUGAAUAAUGUUUAAAUUGAUAGGUAGGAGUCUCACAACAUACGAUAUUCCCUCGUGAAUUAGGUGCUGUUUAAUUUUCUCCACAAAAACUCAAAAAAUAGGUAGGAUCGUAAUGAGUCCCUUCUUAUAGUUAAAGGUAAAGAAAUCCAGAAAACCCAAAUCGGUAUAAAAAUAAAAUAUUAUUAGGCAGGGUGUGUUAUAAAAGUAUCCCCAUUUAAAAUCGUGUAUUUCCUAAAACUGAAGAAUUAAUAAGUUGGUAGGUAGGACUCCCCUCGUGAAUGAUUUGCGGUAUAAUUUUAUCAACAAAAACUACAAAAAAUAGGUAGGAUCGUACAAUUUACAUUAUCUGUCUUUAUGAAUCUCUUCCUAUGGUAAAUGGUGUGCAAAUCAAAUCCGAUAUAGGUAUAACAUAGUAAAAUAUGAUUAGGCAGGGUAUGUUAUAAAAGUUUUCCCAUUUAAAAUCGGGUAUUUCCAAGAACUGAAAAAUUAAUAAAUUGGUAGCUAGGACUCCCCUCGUGAAUGAUUUGCGGUAUAAUAUCUCAAAAAGAAACUACAACAAAAUAGGUAGGAUCGUAUAAUUUUUUACAAAUUAUCUGUCGUAAAGACUUUUUUCUUAUGGUAAAAGGUAAACAAAUCAAUAAAAUCCAAAUCGGUAUAAAAAAUAAAAUAUGAUUAGGCAGGGUGUUUCCCAAAACUGAAAAAUUAGUACGAUUCCCAAAACAUACGGUAUUCACUCGUGAAUAAUUUUUUUCUCAACAAAAUAGGUAGGAUGUUGGUAGGUAAAACUCUCAAAACAAACGGUAAUCAGUCGUUUAUGAGGUGCGGUCUAAUUUUCUCAACAAAACUCAAAAAAUAGGUAGGUUUGUAUAAUUUAUUUUACAUUAUCUUUCGUUAUGACUCUAUUCUCUAAAAAUAAAAUAUGAUUAGGCAGGGUGUGAUAUAAGUAUUCCCAUUUCAAAUCGUAUUUCCAAAAACUGAAAAAUUAAUAUUGGUAGGUAGGACUCCCCUCGUGAAUGAUUUGCGUACAAUUUUCUCAACAAAAACUACAACAAAAUAGGUAGGAUCAUAUAAACAAAAUCGGUAUAAAAAUAAAAUAUGAUUAGGCAGGGUGUGUUAUAAAAGUAUUUAAAAUCAAAUAAACGACAAAUACAAAUAAACACUGAAUAAUGUUUAAAUUGAUAGGUAGGACUCUCAGAACAUACGAUAUUCCCUUCUGAUAGUAAAAAGUAAACAAUUCCAGAAAACCCAAAUCGGUAUAAAAAUAAAAUAUGAUUAGGCAAGGUGUGUUAUAAGUAUUCCCAUUUCAAAUCGUGUAUUUCCAAAAACUGAAAAAUUAAUAAAUUGGUAGGUAGGACUCCCCUCGUGAAUGAUUUGCGUUUAAUUUUCUCAACAAAAACUACAACAUUAUCUGUCUUAAAGACUCUCUUCUUAUGGUAAAAGGUAAAUGAAUCAAUAAAACCGAAAUCGGUAUAAAAAAUAAAAUAUGAUUAGGCAGGGUGUGUUAUAAAAGUAUUCCCAUUUAAAAUCGUUUAUUUCCCAAAUCUAAAAAAUUAGUACGAUUCUCAAAACAUACGGUAUUCACUUGUAAAUGAUUUUUUUCUCAACAAAAUAGGUAGGAUAGGUAGAAUGUUGGUAGGUAGGAUUCUCAAAACAAACGGUAAUAUUCUCAACAAAACUCAAAAAAUAGGCAGGUUCGUAUAAUUUAUUCUACAUCAUCUUUCGUUAUGUCUCUGUUCCCUAAAAAUAAAAUAUGAUUAGGCAGGGUGUGUUAUAAAAGUUUUCCCAUUUAAAAUGGGGUAUUUCCAAAAACUUAAAAAAUUCAUAAAUUUGUAGGUAGGACUCCCCUCGUGAAUGAUUUGCGGUAUAAUUUUAUCAACAAAAACUACAAAAAAAUAGGUAGGAUCGUACAAUUUACAUUAUCUGUCUUUAUGAAUCUCUUCCUAUGGUAAAUGGUGUGCAAAUCAAAUCCGAUAUAGGUAUAACAUAGUAAAAUAUGAUUAGGCAGGGUAUGUUAUAAAAGUAUUGCCAUUUAAACCGUGUAUUUAUAAAAACCUGAAUAAAGUUUAAAUUGGUAGGUAGGUCUCUCAAAACAUACGAUAUUCACUCGUGAAUAAGGUGCGGUCUAAUUUUCUAAAAAAAAACUAAAAAAAGGUAGGAUCGCAUAAUUUAUUCUACAUUAUCUGUCGUAAUGACUUUUUUUUGUGUUAAAAGGUAAAAAAAACCUAAACCGGUCUAAAACUAAAAUAUGAUUAGGCAGGGUGUGUUAGAAAAGUAUUCCCAUUUAAAAUCGUGUAUUUUCAAAAACUAAAAAUUUAUAAAUUGUUAGGUUGGUCUCCCCUCGUGAAUGAUUUGUGGUCUAAUUUUCUCAACAAAACUCAAAAGAUAGGUAGGAUCGUAUAAUUUGUUCUGCAUUAUCUGUCGUAAUGACUCUGUUCUUGUGGUAAAAGGUUAAUAAAUCCAGAAAACCAAAUCGGAAUAAAAAUAAAAUAUGAUUAGGCAGGGUGUGUUGUAAAAGUGUUCCUAUUUAAAAUCGUGUAUUUCGAAAAACUGAAAAAUUAUUAAAUUGGUAGGUAGGACUCCCCUCGUGCAUGAUUUGCGGUAGAAUUUUCUCAACAAAAAUUACAACAAAAUAGGUAGGAUCGUACAAUUUACUCCAAAUUAUCUGUCUUAAAGACUCUCUUCUUAUGGUAAGAGGUAAAUAAAUCAAUAAAACCAAAAUCGGUAUAAAAAAUAAAAUAUGAUUAGGCAGGGUGUGUUAUAAAAGUAUUCUUAUUUAAAAUCUUGUAUUUCCCAAAACUGAAAAAUUAGUACGAUUCUC